rnacentral:lncRNA from 1 species
GGGCUUGCCAAACAGGGACAGAAAGACAGGAUCAGACUGGGCCGUGAAAAUGUAAACAGCUUUGAUGGAAUUGAAGUGCAAAUGCUGCUUGUACAGGUCUUAUCCUUCAAUGAAACAUUCUGCCUUGAAGGCAAAUGGAGUGUGGUCUGAGCACCAUGGGUGUUCCUUCUCAUUAUCUGCUCACAAAGCCCUCCUGUGCUCCUCACAGUCCCAAGCUGGCCUCCUUGCCUGGAUUCUUACUUUGCUACAUGGUGCAUCACAGUUUUUAAACAUGUGCUUCUGGUGUUUCAGGCAAAUGAUGUAUCUCACUAUAGUUCCUCCUCACGAUGUGGGUUAAACAACAAGGCAUAUACUAGUUGCUCCCAUAAAGUCUUUUUGGCAUUUGCAAGGAUUUUUUUUUCCCCAUCACAGCUGAAUGUACAAGGUAAAGCAAUUGCUGAUGAAGUAAAAUAUAUUUCUGUACUUUGAAAAUAAAAAUUUAUUUUGUCACAGUCUUGGAGGACAGUGCAUCCCACAUUACAUGUUGGUAGGUGAUCCUGAAUAUCUGAUUAUUAAAUUGUACACCUCUAUGAAUAGCACAUUGUAUAUAUUACAUACAAAUCGACUACAGCAUGGACAUUCUGCUAUUUUCUAGGACACAAAAGUAGGAAUGUUCCUAAGCUAACACAAUAUGUAAAAUGUAUUGCUGUUCUAAUAUAUGCAUGUUUUCAAACCCACCACGUUACCGAAUAGCACAGAUUGCCAGGGACUGAUACAGCAGUGCCCCAGGGACGUAAGACACAGGAUUUGUAAAGAGAAGAUUAGUGAGAUUAAGCCAUUCCUUCCCUAUUAAUACUUCUACAGAAAAGCUUAUUCUUUACUAUCUGAUAGUCUUCCAUAUUUGCGAUACCAAGUUCACUGAUAAUGUUUCCAUUGCUGCUAGCACUGAAUGAUCACAAUGAAUUCUUUAUUUGCUUGUGCAUGCAUUUUAUAUCAUGUUCAUGCAGUUUUCACAGGGUCUGGAUUCCUAGCAUCUUCCUUCAUUGUCAGAAGAGCAUACCUGAAAUACUGUUUUGAAUGGUUGCUUAUUUAUAUCUUCAAGUCUGUUAACCCAACUGAUGCUUAUAGCCAAGUUCUGCAUCAUUCCUUGCAUAUUUAUAGUCACGCAUUUGCACAGACUAUGUUACUGAGUUUACCAAUUAAAAUUCAAGCCUAA